rnacentral:rRNA from 1 species
CGGAAACAUGUCUAGCUUGCUAGAUGAUGUCGAGUGGCGGACGGGUGAGUAAUACUUAGGAACAUGCCUUUGGGUGGGGGAUAACUAUUGGAAACGAUAGCUAAUACCGCAUAAUGUCUACGGACCAAAGGGGGCUUCGGCUCCCGCCCAGAGAGUGGCCUAAGCGAGAUUAGCUAGUUGGUGUGGUAAAGGCUCACCAAGGCGACGAUCUCUAGCUGUUCUGAGAGGAAGAUCAGCCACACUGGAACUGAGACACGGUCCAGACUCCUACGGGAGGCAGCAGUGGGGAAUAUUGCACAAUGGGGGAAACCCUGAUGCAGCCAUGCCGCGUGAGUGAAGAAGGCCUUCGGGUUGUAAAGCUCUUUUGG